rnacentral:lncRNA from 1 species
UUUGACACCUCAAUCGAGUCCUUUUGUGUAGGAUCGGACCCGACAGUUCAGGGAGGUCGUCAGGUUUAGCAGUUGCAGAGUCAGUCAGGUUUCUGCUUGAGGAGCAGAGGUGAGUGGAACUAAACUUAAUACUCGUUUUAAUUGAGACAUUGAAUGCGUUUAGCAUAUGUCAUGCACCAUGAUAUGCAAUAGGUUGAUUGCAUUAGAAUGCACAAAGAUGUUGCAUUGCAUAGCUAAUUGUUGGUGUGGGUGAAUGCUGAAUGAUCCAAUAGUCCCAGACAGGAAGUCCAGGACCCCAUUCUACGGCCUGGCAGGUAUAGAGAGUUCAGGACCCCAUUCUACGGCCUGACAGGUUUGGUUUUGUACAGGAACAGGAAGUCCAGGACCCCAUGCGAUGGCCUGGCAGAUUUAUUCUUUAUACAGGAAAAAUCCAGGACCUCAUCACUGGCCUGGAAAUUUAAAAUACGUGUGUAUGUAUGUAUGGAUGUAUGUAUGCAUGACAGGUAGACCAGGACCCCAGUCGACGGCCUGGCACGGAUUAGAUACUGGGACUAUGUGGUGACAGGUUUACCCUAGAUGUGAAUUGUCUGUGAUGUGAUGCAUUUUCAUAUAUAGUGCGUAUGAAUGAACUGUUUUCAGUGUUUCUACUCACUGGGCUUUAGUAGCUCAUCCCUUUCCCUUAAACCCAGUUUUGCAGGUUCAGAGUAGCUGGGAAGGGCAGAAGCAACAGAGUUAUGCUAAAGGAUUGCAUGUGUAAUAGUAUAGUGUGGACAUGGUGUAUAUAAAGAGAUAGAUGUAAAAGUGAUGUAAUAGGUAGUCAGUUAAUGUCUAAAUGAGUUAGAAUGUGCUUUUGCCUAUUGUCUAGUGUAUGUGAAUCCCUAGUGUAUGCAUGUAUCCUGUUUUACAGUUUCUUGAUGAGAAAUGAG